rnacentral:rRNA from 1 species
GACGAACGCUGGCGGCGCGCUUCACACAUGCAAGUCGAACGAGAAACCCGGGCUUGCCCGGGUGGACAGUGGCGAACGGGUGAGUAACACGUGAGCAACCUGCCCCGAAGACGGGAACAAGCCGGGGAAACCUGGUCUAAUGCCCGAUGUCCUCACCGGACCGCAUGAUCCGGCGAGGAAAGCACCGGUGAUUCGGGCUGGGGUCGCGGCCUAUCAGAUGGUUGGUGGGGGUACGGCCCACCAAGGCGACGACGGGUAGCUGGUCUGAGAGGAUGUCCAGCCACACUGGGACGGAGACACGGCCCAGACUCCUACGGGAGGCAGCAGUGGGGAAUCUUGCGCAAUGGGCGAAAGCCUGACGCAGCGACGCCGCGUGCGGGAUGAAGGCCUUCGGGUUGUAAACCGCUUUCAGCAGGGACGAAAUUGACGGUACCUGCAGAAGAAGCCCCGGCCAACUACGUGCCAGCCGCCGCAGUAA